UACGUAGGGGGCAAGCGUUGUCCGGAAUCAUUGGGCGUAAAGAGCGCGUAGGCGGCCCGAUAAGUCCGCUGUGAAAGUCAAGGGCUCAACCCUUGAAUGCCGGUUGAUACUGUCGGGCUAGAGUCCGGAAGAGGCGAGUGGAAUUCCCGGUGUAGCGGUGAAAUGCGCAGAUAUCGGGAGGAACACCAAUGGCGAAGGCAGCUCGCUGGGACGGUACUGACACUGAGACGCGAAAGCGUGGGGAGCAAACAGG
rnacentral:rRNA from 1 species